AGAGUUUGAUCCUGGCUCAGAACGAACGCUGGCGGCGCGUCUUAACCAUGCAAGUCGAGCGGCAGGCAGCAAUGCCGAGAGCGGCGGACUGGUGAGUAACACGUGGAUAACGUACCCCGAUGCCCGGGACAGCCUGUAGAAAUAGAGGGUGAUACCGGAUAGAUCACUGUAUACGGAAGGUAGACAGCGGGAAAGGAGCUUCGGCUCCGCGCCGGGAACGGUCUGCGGCCCAUCAGCUGGACGGCGGGGUAAAGGCCCGCCGUGGCGAGGACGGGUAUCCGGCCUGAGAGGGCGGACGGACACAUUGGGACUGAGAUACGGCCCAGACUCCUACGGGAGGCAGCAGGUAAGAAUAUUCCGCAAUGGGGGGAACCCUGACGGAGCGACGCCGCGUGAACGAAGAAGGCCGGAAGGUUGUAAAGUUCUUUUCUGUCCGAGGAAUAAGUGUAGGAGGAAAUGCCUGCAUGGUGACGGUAGGGCAGGAAUAAGCACCGGCUAAUUACGUGCCAGCAGCCGCGGUAACACGUAAGGUGCGAGCGUUGUUCGGAAUUAUUGGGCGUAAAGGGCAUGCAGGCGGGUCGCCAAGCUUGGUAAGAAAUACCGGGGCUCAACUCCGGAGCUAUAUUGAGAACUGGCGAGCUGGAGUUGCCGAAGGGUAUCCGGAAUUCCGCGUGAAGGGGUGAAAUCUGUAGAUAUGCGGAAGAACACCGAUGGCGAAGGCAGGAUACCGGCGGACGACUGACGCUGAGGUGCGAAGGUGCGGGGAGCAAACAGGAUUAGAUACCCUGGUAGUCCGCACAGUCAACGAUGUACACUGGGCGUGUGCGCAAGAGCGUGCGUGCCGAAGCAAACGCGAUAAGUGUACCGCCUGGGGAGUAUGCCCGCAAGGGUGAAAC
rnacentral:rRNA from 1 species